AUAGCAACAGUGACAAAUCGAACGAGAGAAAACAUAUUUGAAAGAGUUUAUCAAACAAGAGGAUGAGGUGGGUAGGAAGUUUAUGUAACCCAUGUGCCUAACAGGGAGAUCUCUCUUUAAGAGACCCAUGCGGGAGAUAGGAGUGAGUUGUGUCUGGGUCAUUGUUGCUAGGCAGAUUUAGCCCUCCACAUCCAGAAGCACCUGGAUUUUGGUUGGGGUAAUUUGGGGUAUGGUUCAACAGGUUUCCUGUUACUGAGGUCAGACUCCAUACGGGCAGUUAGGGCAGCUGCUUUACAAAGGGCCAUGUGUGAGUUGGGAGAAGCAGAGCCCAGGAGCAGAAAGCAGGCUGUUGUUCCUAACUCUGAAGCAUUUUGCAGCAGGGGUUCUCUUUUUAAAUCUACACUUACUUGAUUAAUCAGUUAGCUGACUGACUAACAGUGAUUUCAGAAGAGGAAGGGUCUGCAUGAAUUCCAGUUGAAGAUUCCUACAAGCAAGUGGAGGGAAGAUGUUGUUUUUGACUCAGCAGACUAUAGAUUUGGUGAUCAAAGACUCUAACAGAGAUUCAAGUGAACUCAACCUAUGCUUUUGGGAACUCUCAGUUUCUUCUCCCUGUUUUGGUGGCGACUGAACUGUUGAGAUUUUAUGUAGAUUAUAUGUAGAUCUAUGGGGAUUAUAAAAUAACCAUGUUAUGUUAUAAAAAUUAAAUCAUUAUUUGUUUAUCA